rnacentral:rRNA from 1 species
UACGAAGGGUGCAAACGUUGCUCGGAAUUAUUGGGCGUAGAGCGCACGUAGGCGGCGCUGCAAGUCGGAUGUGAAAUCCCUCGGCUUAACCAAGGAAGUGCAUCCGAAACUGCAGUGCUUGAGUACUUAAGAGGAUCGCGGAAUUCCCGGUGUAGAGGUGAAAUUCGUAGAUAUCGGGAGGAACACCAGUGGCGAAGGCGGCGAUCUGGGAAGAUACUGACGCUGAGGUGCGAAAGCGUGGGGAGCAAACAGG